GCGCAAUGGUUUCCCCACGCCGGGGAAUGAAAAGGGAAUGCCGUGUGAAUCGGCAACAGUUCCCGCUGCUGUGAGUUCCGGACCCUUUGCGGGUCGUUUGUCGCGGCAUUCCGAGCCACUGGCCCCUGGGACCGGGAAGGCGCCGCUCAAGGAACGAGUCAGAAGACCUGCCUUGCACGA
rnacentral:ncRNA from 1 species